GCUCUUAUGAAGUUAGCGGCGGUACGGGUGAGUAACACGUGGGUAACCUGCCCAUAAGACUGGGAUAACUCCGGGAAACCGGGGCUAAUACCGGAUAACAUUUUGAACCGCAUGGUUCGAAAUUGAAAGGCGGCUUCGGCUGUCACUUAUGGAUGGACCCGCGUCGCAUUAGCUAGUUGGUGAGGUAACGGCUCACCAAGGCAACGAUGCGUAGCCGACCUGAGAGGGUGAUCGGCCACACUGGGACUGAGACACGGCCCAGACUCCUACGGGAGGCAGCAGUAGGGAAUCUUCCGCAAUGGACGAAAGUCUGACGGAGCAACGCCGCGUGAGUGAUGAAGGCUUUCGGGUCGUAAAACUCUGUUGUUAGGGAAGAACAAGUGCUAGUUGAAUAAGCUGGCACCUUGACGGUACCUAACCAGAAAGCCACGGCUAACUACGUGCCAGCAGCCGCGGUAAUACGUAGGUGGCAAGCGUUAUCCGGAAUUAUUGGGCGUAAAGCGCGCGCAGGUGGUUUCUUAAGUCUGAUGUGAAAGCCCACGGCUCAACCGUGGAGGGUCAUUGGAAACUGGGAGACUUGAGUGCAGAAGAGGAAAGUGGAAUUCCAUGUGUAGCGGUGAAAUGCGUAGAGAUAUGGAGGAACACCAGUGGCGAAGGCGACUUUCUGGUCUGUAACUGACA
rnacentral:rRNA from 1 species